rnacentral:lncRNA from 1 species
CCCAGCACUGAUGUUAGAGUGUGCACCACCACAUCUGGCUUUUACUUUGAUGUUGGGGAUCCAGAACCCCAAACUCAGAACCUCAAGCUUGCAGGGCAAACACUUUCCUGGCUAUCUACCGGCUCCACGUUUUAACCUUGACACUUGUUGCAAACACACGCACCAUUUUAGCUGCUAUCUCCUUUACACACUGCAGUGUGCCAUAUGCCGAGGUUUCAUGUGUGCUCCCUUGUGUGGUCCCAGGAAAGACCUUGGAAGGGCCUGCUCUUCUCAGUGGCUGGAUCUGUACAUACAGCGGAUAAACAACUGUGUUGGCUUCCCAGGGGCUCACAUGUUCAGGUGACACAGGGUAUAGCCACAGUGACAACUUGAAGAAAACACAGAAAAAGAAAAUAAAAAAAGUAAAAAUCAAAACAACUCCAGGGCUGGGUUUAAGUCCCAGAAAGCAUG